rnacentral:lncRNA from 1 species
CACGAGACAGCGCAGCCAGUGUGGCGGGGGCCCUGCGUCACCGAAGGCAAUAGAGGACACGCUUAAAAGAAACAAGUGAAUUAAACUUGACUUGGGUUCACUUUCCGCAGCGGAGGCUCCUCCCUUCCGGGCCCCCUCGUCCACCUCUGCGUCACUCGGGUGGCGUGUCUAGAGCAUCAUCACGUGCCAGGUUCUCCCCACCACCCGUCACCAGCACGCGGUUCACACGGCACCUUCGUCGGCCUGGAUUUUCUCACGCCCACCAGGCCUGUCACCAGGGCACGUCAGAGAGCGGUCCCCACCUCUCAGCAUGCUCGCCAACACCCAGCCGGCCGGCCCUGGGCGAGCCCUGGGCGAGGGAGCUGCGCCGGCGGAAAUCACUCCGUGAGCGUCAAACGUCGGUAAAAGGCUCUGGAAAAAAGAUCAAACGAAAUACAUAAAACUUCCCGAGGAAACUGGACGGAACAGUGAGUCUGCAAAGGGAGAGCAUGUUCCUGUGGUAUUUGGCGAUGAAAAGCAAAAGCUGAGAACUACAGACUUUUCUCUUUGUGAGGGAGAUGACUGCUUAUGUCUAAAAAGGCAGCUCUCAGGGCGCCUGGCUGGCUCCGUCGGUUAAACGUCCGACGUCAGUUCAGGCGGUGACCUCUUGCUUGGUGAGUUUGAGCCCCGCGUCGGGCUCAAUGCCGUCCGUGCAGAAGCCGCUUCCGAUCCUCCGUCUCUCUCUGCCCUUCCCCCCCUCUCAAAAAUUAAUAAACCUUAAAAAAUUAUAAAAAGGGGGGCGCCGGGGUGGCUCAGUCGGUUAAGCCUCGGCUUCAGCUCAGGUCAGAUCUCACGUUCGUGGGUUCGAGCCCCGCAUCAGGCUCUGUGCUGACAGCUAGCUCAGAGCCUGGAGCCUGCUUCGGAUUCUGUCUCCUCCUCUCUCUGACCCUCCCCCUCUCAUGCUCUGUCUCUCUCUGUAUCAAAAAUAAAAUAUUUAAAAAAAAUUUUUUUUUAAUUAUACAAAGGGAAUUGUAAGAACAUGUUCUUUAGGAUUUGGAAAUUCAGGUAUCCUUGACUGGACGUAACAGAUCUUCUAAUGAAUGCACUGGUCUGCGUGAUCCUGGAUUCGAAGUUCUGUUUUAUAGACAUUGUCUCUAGAGGUUUAACUUGUCGGCUGAGUGCAUGAAUUCAGCUCUGUACGUAUGCAGACUGUGUUCGGGUCCCCCAGCACCGGUCCCUGAGACCUGCGUCCUGCAGAGGGCCGGGACCAGCCGGGCUCAGUGACUGGCCUCCACGUGGUAACGAGACUUCGCUCUAGGCCCGUAAGGAGCAGGAGAAGCCAGAGAAGGGCCGGUGCGGGGCAGGCACUCCGCACGGGGGUUAAGAGACGUCCACUUCCCGACGCAGCCAGUCCACGUGGGACCGCCUGGGAACAGGUCACAUGCCCCCUCCCCCACCUUCCCUCACAACACGAGGUGCUCGCACGCCGCACCUCACCGUGCGCUCUGAGGACCUGUGGUGCAGACGGCGGGCCGUCCGGUCCCUGGAGGUGUCGUUCCCUCCAGUGGAGCCCUGAGGGCCGGCCCCUCCGUCUGCGGGGCCUGCGGGCCACCUUCUGAGGGGGACGCGCCACGGAGGACCCCCUUGUUGGCCAUGUCUAGGUGUAUCUUCAGGCCAGACAGCGAGCAGUAUUUCGGGCUCCCCUGCCCAGCUGUUGACAAUCAGACGUCCCUCCUGAGGGACAGCCCCUGAGAACCGAAGGCGGGUCCCCUCCCAAGGCUCCAGGGUAAGCCACUCUUCCACUACGUGUGUGGCCCAGUGGCCUCGGCGGCCCAGCGCCGACGUGGCCAGGACGCUUUCCGAGCUCCUGGGGGCCUUCUACGGCAUCAGCAGAAACCUCUGGCCGUCGUUCGGAUGUGAGGUGCCUCCUUCAAGAGGGGAGUUAAAGCCUGUUUAACAUCAUCUCAUGAAACAUUUACUCCAAUUAGAGUCUGACAUCCCCUUAUUCUCUGUCAUAAAAUGUUUAAUAUUCUUCUUUCUCCUCUUGACGAAAAACAGUCUAACAAGUUGUCAGACUGGCGCGCUUCCACACUUUAAUUAAGUACAUGGGAGAAAUUUGAUUAUGGAUCUAACACAAUUAUUACUCCUGUUUCUUAUACACGAUUCCUAUUUAAUUAUCUCGAAAAGACAGAUGCCCGUGUUCAAUACACAAGUCUAUACCCAUUUCCCAAAGACCACGCUUCACACACCCAGCUCCAGACAUAACAGCAUUUGAAGGACACUUCACUGAAUACAGAAUAGUAGUUAUAUCAGAUGUGUGUCCCUGGGCCAUUGACAGAUUUUAGUAACAUAUCCUACAAGAUGUGCUCUGAGUUAUUUCUUAAUGGCUCUUUUAAAAAUAAUAUUCCUUAGGGGCGCCUGGGUGGCCAAUGGGUCGAGCAUCCAACUUCAGUUCAGGUCAUGAUCUCAGGGUUCAUGGGUUUGAGCCCCGUGUCGGGCUCUGUGCUGACAGCUCAGAGCCUGGAGCUGCUUCAGAUCCUGUGUCUUCCUCCUCCUCUGCCCCUCCCCUGCUCAUGCUCUGUCUCUCAGCAAUAAAUAAAUGCUUAAAAAAUUUUUAAUGCUGUUCUUUAAAACACAUGGAAAAUAAAGUCGGUUCUUUCUAAUUUUAUUAAAGAAGGAAAGACAGCGUGAUGUGGGGGCCCGGUCCGCCGGCACUGGCUCUGCUCACUGGGUCCCAGGGCAGAUGUUCCCCAUCCCCUUGAUGAGUUAAAUGGGGAGCUCCAAGGGCUUGCCCAGAAUAACAAGGUUCAUAAAGCAGGCAAAGCGAUAAAAACAUUUUAAAGAACAUAAUAUUGUAUCGAAAAAGUUAUGCUAAAACUGACACUGAUGGGGCGCCCGGGGGGCUCAGUCAGUUGAGCAUCAGACCCUUAAUUUCGGCUCAGGGCAUGAUCCCAGGGGUCGUGGGAUGGAGCCUGCCUGGGAGUCCCUCUCCCUCUCUCUCUGCCCCUUCCCUACUUCUGCUCUCUUCUUACAAAAUAAGUAAAUGAGCUUAAAAUAAAGGAAAAGCAGCUGGCACUGAAAUGUCCUGACAAGACGAGGGGCUGCGAGUGGAGAGGCAGUGGGCACCACAAGCAGCCACUGUAUACGUGUCACCGAGGGUCCGGCUGGUUUAAAUAAGGAGUAACUUCCAGGAGUGGGUGACAUGCACGUGCACAGGCGGCGGCUCAGUGACCCCGACCGCAGGAGGGCCCAACGAGCGGGUCAGCGGGUUCGGAAUGGAAACGGAAAGGUGGCUACAGUGGCAUGGGCGCCCCGGGGGGCCCUGCCACCUACCGGACUGAGUGACGGUUCUGCAGGGGGGGCUCUGUUUCCACCCACGUACUUCUGAGAACACGCUUUCUCAGCAUUUGCAUCUGGAGGAUGGAAAACAGACACAGGCGAGGUGCUAAAUCAUGU